rnacentral:rRNA from 1 species
GCGGGAAUUCGAUUGGCGGACGGGUGAGUAAUAUAUAGUUAACCUGCCCUCGAGAAAGGAAUAACAGUUGGAAACGACUGCUAAUGCCCUAUAUGCCUUUAAGACAUAAGUCUGCAAGGGAAAUGCUUUUGUGCUCGAGGAUGGGACUGUACGGUAUCAGAUAGUUGGUGGGGUAAUGGCCUACCAAGUCAAUGACGCCUAACUGGUUUGAGAGGAUGAUCAGUCACACUGGAACUGAGACACGGUCCAGACUCCUACGGGAGGCAGCAGUGGGGAAUAUUGCACAAUGGAGGAAACUCUGAUGCAGCAACGCCGCGUGGAGGAUGACACAUUUCGGUGCGUAAACUCCUUUUAUAUAGGAAGAUAAUGACGGUACUAUAUGAAUAAGCGCCGGCUAACUCCGUGCCAGCAGCCGCGGUAAUACGGAGGGCGCAAGCGUUACUCGGAAUCACUGGGCGUAAAGAGCGUGUAGGCGGGUUAAUAAGUUUGAAGUGAAAUCCUAUGGCUCAACCAUAGAACUGCUUUGAAAACUGUUAACCUAGAAUAUGGGAGAGGUAGAUGGAAUUUCUGGUGUAGGGGUAAAAUCCGUAGAGAUCAGAAGGAAUACCGAUUGCGAAGGCGAUCUACUGGAACAUUAUUGACGCUGAGACGCGAAAGCGUGGGGAGCAAACAGGAUUAGAUACCCUGGUAGUCCACGCCCUAAACGAUGUACACUAGUUGUUGUGAGGCUAGACCUUGCAGUAAUGCAGUAAACACAUUAAGUGU